CUCACUGGGGCAACUUAGUUUUCACACCCAGGCACUGUCUACAUUGCACCGCUGCAAGCCACCAGCUACUACAGGGGCCAGCAGCAUUUAACACCUAUUGUGUGGUCUCUUUUGGAUCAGAAAUGUAGGUACAUGUUAAAGCAUCCAUCUAAUCGCCUGUUUUCAGGAUGCUCGGCCCCCACCGAGCCAGCUGAAAUCAGGGGGAGCUGUGGGUGCUCCGCACUUCUGAAAAUCAGGUCUUCAGUGUGCAGCCUGUUGAUGGAUUUAACCCCUGCCACAAUGCAGAGUUCCUAGAUCUGCAAAUUUCAGGCUGGCCUGUUCGAAGAGAGAAUAUGCUUGGGCAUGUUCUGCUGGAGACUGCCUCAUGACACAGGGCAGAUCUCUCUCCUGCAAGUCCCGUUACACAGGAUGCAAACACAGCCAGGGAGCAUGAAAUCAGCUAAAAUAUAUUAUCAUCUGUGGCACAGAGAUAGGCCCUGAAAAGCUGUGAUCGGGUGGUGAACUUUCCAAAGGUCAGGGGCUAUUUAAACGACGGGUUUUAGAUUGAUUCUAGCUUUAAUGUAGCAGUGACUAAAGCUUACCCGUUGCAGUUUAGUGAACAAACCCGGCUGUCUGGCAUGCUCUUAUUAACCUCCCCAACUCUGAUUUUUCAAUUCAUGUAUUUUAAUUAAUUUUGAAAGCAACGGCUACAAGAGUAUCUUGCGUUUUGCCAACCACACAAUUCAGAGAGAGGCUUUUCAGCCAGAGUGGCCUUUACUUUAGAGGGAGAACAGCAGCCCCCAAGAGAAAGAACAAGGCUAAAGUCUCCACCAUAACUUAGAGAACACAGUGUGACUCCUCUGACUAUAUUGACCUGUGAAAACAAAAUGGCUGCCAAUUCUGCAUGCAAGGAGUAGAUUUAGAAACUGCAAAGUUUGUGACACAGGGAGCAAAAGCAUACCUGUUCCAUAGCUAAGAGUGACGCAGUUUAUCGUCUGUAUGUUAUUUGCAAUUCUUAACACAUAUCACAGUGUGGCUGGCUCCUUUAAGAAGGUGCAGAGGGGAUCCAGUGCACCUGUGAUUGAUUACCUGCUGCUCAGCUGGGCUUAAGGGAAGACACCUGGGCCCUAUAAAGGUGGAAGCUGCAAUAGUGAGUUAGAAGGUUAUAAAAGGGUUUGAGACACCAGGAGAAAUAAGAUUCUAGCUAGGUAGGGUAGGAAGUGGCCUGCUAAAAGCAGAAAACUGAGUUAGUCUGUGGACUUUAUUUUGGGACACUGAGUUCUGGUUAUAUUAAUAACAUCAACUCUGGGGAGGGGUGUUUGCACAGAGAGAAGCCUGUGGAGCCCUAAAAGAAGGGAAACUGAGAAAUACUGGAUCCGAUCAGAAGUUUGUAAUGCAUUUCCCCUGUCCAGUGUUUUGAGGACUUAAGCACUUAAAUACCUUUGAGGAUCUGGGCCUUCCAUGCUGGACCUGUGUGCUCUGACCACGAUGUUGGGCACGGAAUCAGUAAGAAGAACCCACCUGUAGCUGGAAAGAUCACCCCCCAGAAGCUGUGAAGACAAAAACUAAGUAUCCCAGUGGUAGCCUCUGUACAAAGUGCUGAAAGCAGAGGAGGGAGGAAAGAAACAGCUCUGAUCAUCCAGGUCAGUGGUUCCAUGGGGUGCCUCAAUUCAUCUAGAUAACUGCCUAGUUUAACAUGCUCCAUGAAAAGCACUAGCAAAGUCAGUACAAACUAAAAUUUCAUACAGACAAAAGCAAGACAUUUCAGUAAUGUGCUGUGACUUUUGUA